rnacentral:lncRNA from 1 species
UAGGAGGGUUAGUUCUACAAAAGGAAUUAUCUUUGGCAUUUGUUAUUUUAAUCUAUUCUAAUUUUACAAUCUUGUUAUCAAAUGAACACCUUUGUUUUUCUGACUGCCCAAACCAAUUUCACUGAAUGCCAAUACCAAGAUCUGAACACAAGAUUAUAAAAAACAGGAAAUAAAGAAAAACAUAAAUCCACACAAUUACAAGGAGAAGCCUAUUCUGGGAAUAGUCUCCUGUAAAAUUUCCCAUUUUUAUUAAGAUUUCCAUCUCGAGAACGGAUUUGUGUUGUGUGGUUUUCAGUUCUUGUUACCAUCAUUGUCAUAACAGAGGAUGAGCCUAAUUGCAAUGCCUGGGAUGGUCUGUCACUGGUAAUACUGCUCUGACCUUGUGUUAUUCCAGAACCACAAGGAGGCACACAGCUGCUGACCAGAGGAGAUGAAGUACUCUGGAGAGCCGAGGGGUCAUCAGGGCCCAAGUGGCUGCACGAUUUCGCACUGGGGAUUCUAUUCAGCCGUCUAAAUUGCAGCAGGUCCACCUGUCCAAAGAGCAUUAUGGCACACAGCUAUAUGACAUCACUCAGCAUAGCAAAAGAUAUAGGGCUUUGACCGAGUCACUUAGCAUCUUCUAAUGACCCUUACAAGUUCUUCAAAGACAUCGAUUGCCAGAUAGUAGGAACUGUUAUUCUGACUGUAAAAUAAAGGAUGCUGUUUCUAUGGUAAAGAGCAAACCUUCUGUUGCACAAAUUUAAUCUUCUCAUAUCUGGCACUGUAGCUUAUCUAAUGGUAUGG